ACUCCUCAGGGAGGGUGAUGCUGAGGUCACAACACUGAGUGCUGGGGAGCAAAGUCAGCCUGCCCCCAAAGACUCCCUUUGGCCCACCUCCUGUCCCCAUUUUAUAAACAAAGAAGCAGGUCCAGAGAGGGAAAGGCCACCCGAAUCUUUGAUGAGUCUCCCAGCUCAUCAAACUUAAACCCAAGAGGGGCAUGCUGGGUCCCUCUCUACCUGCAUGAGUGCUGCACACCCUUCCUGGGUCCUCAGACAGCAGCUGAAGCAGCAACCUCUCGCGAGCCCGCCCAUCCGUGAGUGCCCACUCCAGCUGGCACCACUUCCAUCCAGGGCUCUCAGCUUGAACCGGGG